GGCACCAUCAUGGCCACUAAUGGCUUGCGUUGUGAGAGCGCAACCAUCCAAAGCGUUUUACAUCCAAAAAAAGAGUCCAGAAGAGAAAAGAGAGAAUAAAUACAACAGCAACUCCUUAUGUCACACCUUCAUUGAAGCCACUCCCACAACAAUUCACCCAUAAAUACUGUGAAUAUUCCCAUCAUCCUACAAGAGAAGUUCUUCAGACCGGAAGAACUCCAGGUGUAACAACUGAAAUAUGACGUAUAUUAUGAAAAAGAUGGAGUUUGUUAAAGAGGAUGGUGAGGACUUGAGAGAUGAAGAAUCAAGCAGAAUGAAACAUGAAGAUACUGAGGAACAAAGAGGCCUGAUGGGAGAAGUGAAAGGGGGAAAUCAAGAGCUGAAUGAAGUGGAGGAGAAACAUCAGUAUGAAGAAACAUCCAACAGUUGCUCACAGACUAAAAACAAUUCCUUUAAAAAAAGAACUCCGAGAACAGCAGCCGAAAACUCAUUGACCUGCCCUCAGUGUGGAAAGAUUUUCAAACGUAGAGAACACUUUAAUAAUCACAUGAGAAUUCACACUGGAGAGAAGCCGUUCACCUGCCCUCAUUGUGCAAAAUGUUUCGCACAAAAAAUAACCCUUAAUGUUCAUAUAAGAAUUCACACUGGAGAGAAGCCACACACAUGCACUCAGUGUGGAAAGAGUUUCUCAGGUAAAGGAGAACUUAAUAGUCACAUGAGGAUUCACUCUGCAGAGAAGCCUUUCACUUGUGCUCAGUGUGGAAAGAGUUUCAAAUGGGCCAACGAUCUCAAUGUUCAUCUGCGCUCUCACUCUGGGAUAAAGCCAUACUACUGUGAUCAGUGUGGUAAAACUUUUACUUCAGCAUCAAAUCUAAAAAAACAUGUGAUUAUCCAUACAAAUGAGAAGCCUUACAUGUGUUCCCUUUGUGGAAAGAGUUUUUCAUGGCUGAUCAGCUUGAAACGGCACCAGAAAAUACACUCCAGUGUAAGAGAUCACGUGUGCCUUGAGUGUGGUAAGACUUUUUUUUCAGCCACACGCUUAAAACGGCACAAGAGUGAACACAUGAAUGAUCCAGAACCAUCCAGAAUGAAACAUGAAGAUACUGAGGAACAAAGAGGCCUGAUGGAAGAAGUAAAAGAGGAAAAUCAAGAGCUGAAUGAAGUGGAGGAGAAACAUCAGUAUGAAGAAACAUCCAACAGUUGCUCACAGACUAAAAACAAUUCCUUUAAAAAAAGAACUCGAAGAACAGCAACCGAAACCUCAUUGACCUGCCCUCAGUGUGGAAAGAUUUUCAAACGUAGAGAACACUUUAAUAAUCACAUGAGAAUUCACACUGGAGAGAAGCCGUUCACCUGCCCUCAUUGUGCAAAACGUUUCGCACAAAAAAUAACCCUUAAUGUUCAUGUAAGAAUUCACACUGGAGAGAAGCCACACACAUGCACUCAGUGUGGAAAGAGUUUCUCAGGUAAAGGAGAACUUAGUAGUCACAUGAGGAUUCACUCUGCUGAGAAGCCUUUCACAUGCGCUCAGUGUGGAAAGAGUUUCAAAUGGGCCAACGAUCUCAAUGUUCAUCUGCGCUCUCACUCUGGGAUAAAGCCAUUUUACUGUGAUCAGUGUGGUAAAACUUUUACUACAGCAUCAAAUCUCAAAAAACAUGUGAUUAUCCAUACAAAUGAGAAGCCGUACUUGUGUUCCCUUUGUGGAAAGAGUUUUUCAUGGCUGAUCAGCUUGAAACGGCACCAGAAAAUACACUCCAGUGUAAGAGAUCACGUGUGCCUUGAGUGUGGUAAGACUUUUCUUUCAGCCACACGCUUAAAACGGCACAAGAGUGAACACAUGAAUGAUCCAGAACCAUCCAGAAUGAAACAUGAAGAUACUGAGGAACAAAGAGGCCUGAUGAAAGACGUGAAAGUGGAAAAUCAAGAGCUGAAUGAAGCGGAGGAGAAACGUCACUCUAAUGAAAAAUCCAACAGUUGCUCACAGACUAAAAACAAUUCCUUUAAAAAAAGAACUCGAAGAACAGCAACCGAAAACUCAUUGACCUGCCCUCAGUGUGGAAAGAUUUUCAAACGUAGAGAACACUUUAAUAAUCACAUGAGAAUUCACACUGGAGAGAAGCCGUUCACCUGCCCUCAUUGUGCAAAAGGUUUUGCACAAAAAGAAAACCUUAAUCGUCAUGUAAGAAUUCACACUGGAGAGAAACCUUUCACAUGUACUCACUGUAGAAAAUGUUUUUUGAGCAAAAGAGAACUUAAAAGUCACAUGAGGAUUCACUCUGCAGAGAGGCCUUUCACAUGCGCUCAGUGUGGAAAGAGUUUCAAAUGGGCCAACGUUCUCAAUGAUCAUCUGCGCUCUCACUCUGGGAUAAAGCCAUACUACUGUGAUCAGUGUGGUAAAACUUUUACAAAUGCAUCAAAUCUAAAAAAACACGGGGUUAUUCAUACAAAUGAGAAGCCUUACAUGUGUUCUUCUUGUGGAAAGAGUUUUUCAUGGCUGAUCAGCUUGAAAAAGCACAAGAAAAUACACUCCAGUGUAAGAGAUCUUGUGUGCCUUGAGUGUGGUAAGACUUUUCUUUCAGCGACACGCUUAAAACGGCACAAGAGUGAACACAUGAAUGAUCCAGAACCAUCCAGAAUGAAACUUGAAGAUACUGAGGAACAAAGAGGCAUGCUGGAAGAAGUAAAAGAGGAAAAUCAAGAGCUGAAUGAAGUGGAGGAGAAACAUCAGUAUGAAGAAACAUCCAACAGUUGCUCACAGACUAAAAACAAUUCCUUUAAAAAAACUCGAAGAACAGCAACCGAAAACUCAUUGACCUGCCCUCAGUGUGGAAAGAUUUUCAAACGUAGAGAACACUUUAAUAAUCACAUGAGAAUUCACACUGGAGAGAAGCCGUUCACCUGCCCUCAUUGUGCAAAACGUUUCGCACAAAAAGAAAACCUUAAUGUUCAUGUAAGAAUUCACACUGGAGAGAAGCCACACACAUGCACUCAGUGUGGAAAGAGUUUCUCAGGUAAAGGAGAACUUAAUAGUCACAUGAGGAUUCACUCUGCUGAGAAGCCUUUCACAUGCGCUCAGUGUGGAAAGAGUUUCAAAUGGGCCAACGAUCUCAAUGUUCAUCUGCGCUCUCACUCUGGGAUAAAGCCAUACUACUGUGAUCAGUGUGGUAAAACUUUUACUUCAGCAUCAAAUCUAAAAAAACAUGUGAUUAUCCAUACAAAUGAGAAGCCGUACUUGUGUUCCCUUUGUGGAAAGAGUUUUUCAUGGCCGAACAGCUUGAAACGGCACCAGAGAAUUCAUACUGAAGAACACUUGAUAAGAGCACUGGAGAGAAACCAGACCACUGCUCUCCAUGUGGGAGGAGCUUCACCAAAUUAAGGGAUCUGGUUCUUUGGGCCUCCAAACAUCACAGCAAUAACAAUUCACACCUUCAUUGAAGCCACUCCCACAACAAUUCACCAAUAAAUACUGUGAAUAUUCCCAUCAUCCUACAAGAGAAGUUCUUCAGACCAGCAGGAAGAUCUCCAGGUGUAACAACUGAAAUCUGUGUGAUAUAAUAUGGAAAAGAUGGAGUUUAUUAAAGAGGAGAAAGAAGACAUGAGUUAUCUAGAGCCAUACAACAUAAAACAUGAAGAUACUGAGGAACAAAUAGACUUCAUAAAAGUGAAAGAAGAAAGCCAAGAACUGAAUGAAGUGGUGGAGGAACAUCAGGAUCAGAAGCCUCGUCAUUUCUUAAGUGGAGAAACACAAAACCAAACUCAAACAACAGAGGACAAAAACUCUUUCACCUG